UGUUAUAUUUCAAAAAAAAUUUAAAAUUCAUGCAUGAAAUCCUGCACCUUUUCCAACAAUAUCUCCAUGGCCAUGUCUAAUUCUAUGUUAUUUGCUUAGCCCACAUAUUGGGCAAAUAUGGUAUUCCUUAUACAAUCCACUUGUAUAAUUCAUAGCCAAGAUUCAAAGUAAAAUAUAAAAUAUAGCUUGCAAAAAUCUAAGGGUACAAUGUAUGCCAUUUUGAAAUCAUGGUUUCUCCUAUGUGUAAAG
rnacentral:lncRNA from 1 species